GACGAACGCUGGCGGCGUGCUUAACACAUGCAAGUCGAACGGAAAGGCCCUGCUUUUGUGGGGUGCUCGAGUGGCGAACGGGUGAGUAACACGUGAGUAACCUGCCCUUGACUUUGGGAUAACUUCAGGAAACUGGGGCUAAUACCGGAUAGGAGCUCCUGCUGCAUGGUGGGGGUUGGAAAGUUUCGGCGGUUGGGGAUGGACUCGCGGCUUAUCAGCUUGUUGGUGGGGUAGUGGCUUACCAAGGCUUUGACGGGUAGCCGGCCUGAGAGGGUGACCGGCCACAUUGGGACUGAGAUACGGCCCAGACUCCUACGGGAGGCAGCAGUGGGGAAUAUUGCACAAUGGGCGGCAGCCUGAUGCAGCAACGCCGCGUGCGGGAUGACGGCCUUCGGGUUGUAAACCGCUUUCGCCUGUGACGAAGCGUGAGUGACGGUAAUGGGUAAAGAAGCACCGGCUAACUACGUG
rnacentral:rRNA from 1 species